AGUGUUUUUCUGUUGGAGUUUUGCAACUGUAUUCUGGCAUGCUUUCCAGCAGCACACAGGUUAAUGGCAGGCCAGCUUGAGUGAUAGCCUACCUAGCCAAUAGGUCAAACCUUCCGGUCUCAGAGGGCAGACAGGACGUUCAUCAUUCUGCUAUGGAAUGUGAGAGUUGCCGGCAGACGAGCUUCACUGACGAUCAACAAAGAGCACUCAAGGGGUCCAAGAAGCUGAACCUCUUAGUCCACUCUGUAGGACGCAUCCCCGGCGGCUACAUUACCAACCACAUCUACACUUGGGUGGACCCCCAGGGUCGGAGCGUCUCCCCGCCGACAGGCCUUCCCCAGCACCAGAGCAACUCCCUGCGGAAAGAUGGUGAGAAGAGGAGCCACCUCCAGCUCCUGCAAGAAGGAGAUGAGAAGAAGGUGAACCUGGUGUUGGACGAAGGGCGAUCGCUGGGACUCAUGAUCCGAGGAGGAGCCGAAUACGCUCUUGGGAUUUACAUCACCGGCGUGGACAAGGGCUCCGAAGCGGAAAGCACUGGUCUCAAGGUGAGCCUGACGAUGGCUAGACUACUGUAAGGAGCUCUCAAUGGGGCGGCCCUUGAAGGAUGUCCACAAAAUUUCUGCAGUUUAGUAAACUUAUGACAGAACCAAUUAGGAAACGACAUUGAUAACCCAGCAACAAAAAUCAUAUAGUGUCAUGGCGAUUUGACUGAAGCCAGUAUAAGAAUCAGAACUUUUGAUACUGUAACAUCCACCCAGACCUCAUCCGAGGUUCUAUUUUGACUAGAGGCCGGAUGGUCAUCUGUUGGGAGGGCUUGGAUUGUGUCUUCCUGCCUCACAGAAUGGGGUUGGCCUGGAUGGUCAUUGGAGUCUCUUCCAAGUCUUUUUUCUGAAUCUUAAGAGCCCUGCCUUGAAU
rnacentral:lncRNA from 11 species